CCUACGGGUGGCAGCAGUAGGGAAUAUUGCUCAAUGGGGGAAACCCUGAAGCAGCAACGCCGCGUGGAGGAUGAAGGUUUUCGGAUUGUAAACUCCUUUUGUUAGAGAAGAUAAUGACGGUAUCUAACGAAUACGCCCCGGCUCACUCCGUGCCAGCCGCCGCGGUCAUACGGAGGGUGCAAGCGUUACUCGGAAUCACUGGGCGUAAAGAGCGCGUAGGCGGGAUAGCAAGUCAGAUGUGAAAUCCUAUGGCUUAACCAUAGAACUGCAUUUGAAACUGUUAUUCUAGAGUGUGGGAGAGGUAGGUGGAAUUCUUGGUGUAGGGGUAAAAUCCGUAGAGAUCAAGAGGAAUACUCAUUGCGAAGGCGACCUGCUAGAACAUAACUGACGCUGAUGCGCGAAAGCGUGGGGAGCAAACAGGAUUAGAUACCCCUGUAGUC
rnacentral:rRNA from 1 species